rnacentral:rRNA from 1 species
GACGAACGCUGGCGGCGUGCUUAACACAUGCAAGUCGAACGGAAAGGCCCUGCUUUUGUGGGGUGCUCGUGUGGCGAACGGGUGAGUAACACGUGAGUAACCUGCCCUUGACUUUGGGAUAACUUCAGGAAACUGGGGCUCAUACCGGAUAGGAGCUCCUGCUGCAUGGUGGGGGUUGGAAAGUUUCGGCGGUUGGGGAUGGACUCGCGGCUUAUCAGCUUGUUGGUGGGGUAGUGGCUUACCAAGGCUUUGACGGGUAGCCGGCCUGAGAGGGUGACCGGCCACAUUGGGACUGAGAUACGGCCCAGACUCCUACGGGAGGCAGCAGUGGGGAAUAUUGCACAAUGGGCGGAAGCCUGAGGCAGCAACGCCGCGUGCGGGAUGACGGCCUUCGGGGUGUAAACCGCUUUCGCCUGUGACGAAGCGUGAGUGACGGUAAUGGGUAAAGAAGCACCGGCUAACUACGUG